ACAGUUUCAUCAUAUUUUGUGAUUUACAAUCUUCAUUCUGCCUCUGAAAUUAUAUGUUCACAUUUAAUUCUCUAUAUAAAGUGGAUAUAUGUAACAUUCAAAUGGUAAUAUUCAAGCAUUAAUUAAUAUUUCUGUUGUAGCGAUACAAAGCUAUGGGUUCAUCAGUAAAUUGUUUUUUAGAGUUAAGACCCUUUACAUUUUGUAUAGCUGCGACUUGUCAGCUCACCAACAUUC
rnacentral:lncRNA from 1 species